GACGAACGCUGGCGGCGUGCUUAACACAUGCAAGUCGAACGGAAAGGCCCUGCUUUUGUGGGGUGCUCGAGUGGCGAACGGGUGAGUAACACGUGAGUAACCUGCCCUUGACUUUGGGAUAACUUCAGGAAACUGGGGCUAAUACCGGAUAGGAGCUCCUGCUGCAUGGUGGGGGUUGGAAAGUUUCGGCGGUUGGGGAUGGACUCGCGGCCUAUCAGCUUGUUGUUGGGGUAGUGGCUUACCAAGGCUUUGACGGGUAGCCGGCCUGAGAGGGUGACCGGCCACAUUGGGACUGAGAUACGGCCCAGACUCCUACGGGAGGCAGCAGUGGGGAAUAUUGCACAAUGGGCGGAAGCCUGAUGCAGCAACGCCGCGUGCGGGAUGACGGCCUUCGGGUUGUAAACCGCUUUCGCCUGUGACGAAGCGUGAGUGACGGUAAUGGGUAAAGAAGCACCGGCUAACUACGUG
rnacentral:rRNA from 1 species